AUAAGCGCCCUCCUUCCCCUUGAGAGAGGGCAGCGCUGGCUCCGCUCCAGCCAGAGGCCCCCAUCCCUCACAUCUCGCGCGGUGCACGCCUCCUUCAGCCCCACUCGCAUCUCCUCAGAGUUCCUGCUCCUCCUCAGGGCCCCCUUCUCCUCAAAGCCCUCGGUCCUCAGAGACCCUCACUCCCCAGAGCACCCCAACUCUUCCUCCAAGCCACCCCCUCCUCCUCAGAACCCCACACCUCUUAUAGCUUGAUCGACAGCCCCCAUUCAUUUCCAGAAGCCCCAAGCCCCAGACCCCUGCUCAGUCCCCCUAAUGCUCCCUGCAUCCUCAGCCCCAUCAGGUGGGCCACUGGGGCCCCUGGCUCUUCCUCUAGAGCUUUCCACGCCCCGUUCACCUGGCUAAGGCGGGGCGCAGGCGUGCGUGGUUGAUGGCAACGAGGAGAUUACAGUUCUGGGCAUAGAAAAUGCUACCACGUGGUUACCGAAUGAAGGAAGGAUGUUUACUGAGAGACUCCCCUGCAGUGUACCCCAAAUCAGAGCGAAUCCUCACAUCUUUGUUUCUAGUCCUUAGGACACAGCAUCGAAGGCUCCUAGUGCACAAGAAAAGGAACUGGGCGGUGGCUCAUGCCUGUAAUCCUAGCACUUUGGGCGGCAGAGGCGGGAGGAUCACUUGAGCACGGGAGUUUGAGACCAGCUUGGGCAACAUAGUGAGACCCCGUGGUGGUGCACGCCUGUGGUCCCAGCUAUUUGGGACUUGAGAGGCUGAAGUGGGAGGAUCACUUGGGCCUGGGAAUUUGAGGCUGCAGUGAGCCAUGAUUGCACCACUGCACUGCAGCCUGGUUGACGGAGACCAGGUCUCAAAAAAAAAAAAAAAAAAAAAAAGUAAUGGCCUGGACAUGAAUCUCUUCUCCAAAGUCACAGAACCUCCUGGAGCCUAUUUGCUAUGAGGACAGUCUCCAGAUGUGGGCUCAGUAAAAGGUCCUCAGCCUGCUGGCUGGGAGCCCUUCCAGGGUGGGGCCCACGUUCUCUCCAUUGCUGCUGGGGAGGAAAUUCAAACACCAUCUGGUAUGGCUGGAUUGGAGAGCGUCGGGAGACUCCAAAGGGGACGGCAGGGAGUGAAAAAUGAAAGACAUUGACCGAGUGUCUGGACAAUAGGGAAAGCUCUCUGAUGAAGGAAACCGACACUUGGCUCCAAUGACAGAAAGUAAUAGAUUGCAUGGGAGCCACGGAGACCAGUGCCUGUUCAAAAGGUCACCCACAAGCACAGCACUGCCCAGGAGGCCUGAACAGUAGUGGCCUUCAGGCUGGGUGCAGUGGCUGACACCUAUGAUCCCAACACUUUGGGAGUCUGAGGUGGGAGAUUACUUGAGCCCAGGAGUUCAAGACCAGUCUGGGGAACAUAGUGAGACCCCAUCUCUACAAAAAUAAAAAUUAAAAAAAUAGCUAAAUUAGCUGGUCAUGGUCCCAGCUACUUGGGAGGCUGAGGCGGGAGGAUAAGUUGGGCUCAGGAGGUCGAGGCUACAGUGAGCUGUGUUUGUGCCACUGCACUCCAGCCUGGGUGAGAGAGCAAAACCUGCCCCCAACCCCAACAAAGUAGUAUCCUUCAGAGAACUUGGAGGGGUGGGCACUGAAAGCUUCAGGGACCAGCAGAGACAAAAAUUUGAAGCCACUUGGUGGAGACGGGAGAUCGACAAGAGGAAAUGGGCUCAAACAAAAGGGCAGUGGGGAGGGAGGGGGCUCAUAGGGUCCAGACACUACUCUGAGCUGCAGAGAAAGACAGGGAGACAGGCAGUGAGAUGGAGGCAGAGCAACAGAUGGGGGAAACAAAGAACAGAAGCAGAGAGAAACAGAUUCAAGACCCCAGUAAG
rnacentral:lncRNA from 1 species